CAUCCCUACGGAAUGUUCACCUUUGUCUUCAUAUGUCAAUGAGCUGUGGGACAGUUGAGCAUACUGAAAAGCUAUCCCUGUACAAGGCCGGAUCCACACUGAUGCUUUGCCCCUUCUUGCCAAGGGACCACAUUGUUAGAGACAUUGGUUUGGGGUGUCUUUAUAACCAUAACACGGUGUGAGAUUUUUUGUCGUGGUAUCUGAAGAUCUUGAAUGAGUGGUGCUUGCUGUGUUGCAUGCUUCUUCUGGUGCUGGGUUGCUGUCUCCUGUUUCUUUUUGUCUCACCAGGGUCCACCUGAGCAGGGGUUUCGCAUUGGCUGAUCCGACCUUCCUAGACUGAGGAGAAUCCACCAAUUGUAUAGCAGUAUUUAAGAGCCAUUUUAAUAACUUUUCCACACUUUUUGUACUAAAUUGUAAUAAAUUUGAAAUACAUUUAUA